GGAUGGAAUCAGUAUAACUUAGUGGCGGACGGGUGAGUAACGCGUGGGAAACCUGCCCUGUACCGGGGGAUAACACUUAGAAAUAGGUGCUAAUACCGCAUAAGCGCACGGAACUGCAUGGUUCUGUGUGAAAAACUCCGGUGGUACAGGAUGGUCCCGCGUCUGAUUAGCCAGUUGGCAGGGUAACGGCCUACCAAAGCGACGAUCAGUAGCCGGCCUGAGAGGGUGAACGGCCACAUUGGGACUGAGACACGGCCCAAACUCCUACGGGAGGCAGCAGUGGGGAAUAUUGCACAAUGGGGGAAACCCUGAUGCAGCGACGCCGCGUGAGUGAAGAAGUAUUUCGGUAUGUAAAGCUCUAUCAGCAGGGAAGAAAAUGACGGUACCUGACUAAGAAGCCCCGGCUAACUACGUGCCAGCAGCCGCGGUAAUACGUAGGGGGCAAGCGUUAUCCGGAUUUACUGGGUGUAAAGGGAGCGUAGACGGCAUGGCAAGCCAGAUGUGAAACCCAGGGCUCAACCUUGGGAUUGCAUUUGGAACUGCCGGGCUGGAGUGCAGGAGAGGUAAGCGGAAUUCCUAGUGUAGCGGUGAAAUGCGUAGAUAUUAGGAGG
rnacentral:rRNA from 1 species